CAAAAAAACAAGCCUCCUUUUUUCCCCCUUUGCCUUAUAAUUCUCUCGGAGUGUGACAAAGGGGAGUCUUUCAACAGUCUAUAACGCUCGCUGGGCCAGAGAGAAAUCUAAAGACUAUUACGAGCAGAGAGAACACAAAAGGGUUUAUCAGAUGGCCUGCCUUAAAGGGGUUGUCGCAGAGAGGCCAAGAAGUUGCUUUCCACUUCCUUUCCCACCCCAGAGAUCAACCUUGAUGUCCGUUUAUCCCAUUCUCUCAACUGUUUAGGUGGGAUUUCUAUGUGCAGUGAUUGGAACAAAUACAGUAACCUUGGCAGGAUGUUCAUUUUGAUUGUUUCAAAUCUACUACUAAGAUCUACCGGACCUCUGGCAUUCUCUAUGGGGGUGCCACAGGGUUCAAUUCUUGGACCGACUCUCUUCUCUGUAUACAUCAAUGAGGUCACUCUUGCUGCUGGUGA